GUGGAGCAUGUGGCUUAAUUCGAAGCAACGCGAAGAACCUUACCAGGUCUUGACAUCUAGUGCCAACCUAAGAGAUUAGGCGUUCCCUUCGGGGACACUAAGACAGGUGGUGCAUGGCUGUCGUCAGCUCGUGUCGUGAGAUGUUGGGUUAAGUCCCGCAACGAGCGCAACCCUUAUUAUUAGUUGCCAGCAUUAAGUUGGGCACUCUAAUGAGACUGCCGGUGACAAACCGGAGGAAGGUGGGGAUGACGUCAAGUCAUCAUGCCCCUUAUGACCUGGGCUACACACGUGCUACAAUGGGCAGUACAACGAGGAGCGAACUUGUGAAGGCAAGCGAAUCUCUGAAAGCUGUUCUCAGUUCGGACUGUAGGCUGCAACUCGCCUACACGAAGCUGGAAUCGCUAGUAAUCGCGGAUCAGCACGCCGCGGUGAAUACGUUCCCGGGCCUUGUACACACCGCCCGUCACACCAUGAGAGUUUGUAACACCCAAAGCCGGCCGGAUAACCUAGUUUACUAGGAGUCAGCCGUCUAAGGUGGGACAAAUGAU
rnacentral:rRNA from 1 species